CCCUUAGAUGUUCGGGGCCGCACGCGCGCUACACUGAAGGACUCAGCGUGUCUCUCCCCCUAUCCCGAAAGGGAUGGGCAACCCGUUGAACCUCCUUCGUGCUAGGGAUUGGGGUUUGCAAUUAUCCCCCAUGAACGAGGAAUUCCCAGUAAGCGCGAGUCAUCAGCUCGCGUUGAUUACGUCCCUGCCCUUUGUACACACCGCCCGUCGCUACUACCGAUUGGAUGGUUUAGUGAGACCCUCGGAUCGGUCCCGACUCGGGGUGGGCUUCUGCCCCGGUCGUGGUUUCGCCGAGAAGACGGUCAAACUUGACUAUCUAGGGGAAGUAAAAGUCGUAACA
rnacentral:rRNA from 1 species